UCUACGGGAGGCAGCAGUGAGGAAUAUUGGUCAAUGGCCGGAAGGCUGAACCAGCCAUGCCGCGUGAAGGUCAGUGCCCCAUGGGCGUUAAAAUUCUUUUGUGCGGGAGCAAUAAUGGUCACGUGUGGCCAGACGAGAGUACCGUACGAAAAAGCAUCGGCUAACUCCGUGCCAGCAGCCGCGGUAAUACGGAGGAUGAGAUCGUUAUCCGGAUUUAUUGGGUUUAAAGGGUGCGCAGGCGGAAGAUGAAGUCAGCGGUAAAAUUGGGAGAUUCACCCACGUCGAGCCGUUGAUACUGGUUUUCGUGAGUGAGUGAGAAGUAUGCGGAAUGCGUGGUGUAGCGGUGAAAUGCAGAGAUAUCACGAAGAACUCCGAUUGCGAAGGCAGCAUACCGGCGCUCAACUGACGCUCAUGCACGAAAGUGUGGGUAUCGAACAGGAUUAGAUACCCUAGUAGUC
rnacentral:rRNA from 1 species